AGUGCUGCGGUGGGCUAAGAAGACCAAGACCCUAGGGGGGAAAAUAGCUUUGGCGUGAAGUUCCUCUGCCAACUUCUGUGCACUCUUCAGAACAUUUUGAAAUCCCUCAUCUGACCGGCUCCCAAUUAGUCUUUGCCUGCUCAUGUGGUCCAGAGAAGUAAUCCCAAAUCUUGCCCUUUCUGAAGAUACGUUAAGACUAAUCUUCAAAAUGAGCUCCAAGUAAGUCACAUUUUAGAAGAACUGAAAGCCAAAGACGGGCAUGCUGAACUGAUGAUUUCCUAGAAGGAGUUAGAGGUUAUGACGCUACAUGGUCUUAGAGUUUCUAGUGCAUCAUUUGUAAAUAAAAUAAAAUAAAAUAAAAUCCCUGCAACAUUUUAACAAACAGGACAAUAAAACAA